UUAAUGGUGAAUUAAAAUAAAUGUGAAAUCACGAAUUAAACUAAGAAACGUCUGUUAACUAAGAGACAAAAACUUUGCUAAGAGACGUCCACGUGGCAGCAUGCGAGUAGGUGGCUUUUUUUUUCUUUCUCUCUCUCUCUUCUCUCAUUUCGCGAUUUCCUCAAACAGAGAGAAACCGGAAUCACCUCAAAUCGGAGGAGUCUCCGACGUUAAGCACCUCCGGCCGUCGUUCCACCGUUAGCUCGUCAUCUCCACCGACUCCGGUUGUCCACGGCGUCUUCGGUUCACCAAAUCGGCGAGGUUGGCUUACAAGUCUUCCACCAAGAGCCAAGAGUUUUGCGAUUUAACAUCAAAGGAGGAGAUUAGGAAGAUUGAUCUUGAUUGAACAAGAUGUUGAUAAACAUCAGAUGGUUCUAAUUGGCUUUCAAUCUUUAAACCUUUUUGAUUAUGGUAUGUAUCCAAAGUUUGAUCCUUUUUGAUCGAUGCAAUCUCAU